rnacentral:rRNA from 1 species
GACAGAGGGUGCAAACGUUGUUCGGAAUUACUGGGCGUAAAGCGCGUGUAGGUGGCAAGGCAAGUCGGGUGUGAAAGCCCUGGGCUCAACCCAGGAAGUGCACUCGAUACUGCCUCGCUAGAGUCCCGGAGAGGUUGGUGGAACUCUCGGUGUAGAGGUGAAAUUCGUAGAUAUCAAGAGGAACACCAGUGGCGAAGGCGAGUCCCUGGACAAACCCUGACACUGAGGCACGAAAGCCAAGGGAGCAAACAGG